rnacentral:tRNA from 1 species
AGCCCAGGGCACACUUUACUGUGCUCACCUACAUUUGCACUCUAG